rnacentral:rRNA from 1 species
CCCUUAGAUGUCCGGGGCCGCACGCGUGCUACACUGAGUGGAUCAGCGGGUCAGGUUGCGCGAAAGUGUUUCCUAAUCUUGAAAUCCGCUCGUGAUGGGGAUUGACGGUUGCAAUUUUCCGUCAUGAACGAGGAAUACCUUGUAAGCGCGGGUCAUCAUCCCGCGCUGAAUACGUCCCUGCCCUUUGUACACACCGCCCGUCGCUCCUACCGAUUGAAUGUUCCGGUGAGCUCUUCGGACUGCGCGGUCUGCAGUUUCUGCGUUCCGUGCGGAAAGUUGCGCAAACCUUAACAUUUAGAGGAAGGAGAAGUCGUAACA